ACACGGACCAAGAAGUCUAGAAUAUGCGCGAGUCAAAGGGCUGGCUAAACCCCUAGGCGAAACGAAAGUGAAAACGUUUUUUCUUCAUAGGGCCGAUCCGGUUCGAGGUGCGCUAGCGGGAGUCUUUCCCCCUCCGCAGUCUCUUCGGUAUCUGUCGUUCCUCAAGGGGGGCGGCCGGUAUCGGAGUCCUGCGGGGGUGGCUCCCUUCCUUUCCCCUCGAUUUGUCUCCCUUUAAGUAUGAGGACGGCGCAGGCUCGGGGCUCGCACGCGACCUCCCCACCGUUAAGGCCUAACCGUUCGCACCCUUCGACGCUCGCGGUUCGUCGAAACUUCGUCGCUUCUCCCGCUCGCCCUGGCUGUCGUGGCCGCUACUCGCCUCUCAAAAGGAGGAAAGAGGGCGGUUGCGGCUCCAGGAUCGGUCGAGGGCGGUCGGCGGGGUCGAGACACCGUCAGCGCGUCGGUCGGGGUAGUCGGUUCGCUGGCGCGGGACGAGCGGCGGGUUCUUGGAGCGCAUAUUCUAGUACCCGAAAGAUGGUGAUCUAUGCCUGGCCAGGAUGAAGCCAGAGGAAACUCUGGUGGAGGUCCGUAGCGAUUCUGACGUGCAAAUCGAUC
rnacentral:rRNA from 1 species